rnacentral:rRNA from 1 species
GACAGAGGGGGCAAGCGUUGCUCGGAAUUACUGGGCGUAAAGGGCGCGUAGGCGGGAUGGCAAGUCGGUCGUGAAAUCCCUCGGCUCAACCGAGGAACGUCGAUCGAUACUGCUGUUCUUGAGGAUUGCAGAGGAGACUGGAAUUCCCGGUGUAGCGGUGAAAUGUGUAGAGAUCGGGAGGAACACCGGUGGCGAAGGCGGGUCUCUGGGCAACUCCUGACGCUGAGGCGCGAAAGCGUGGGGAGCGAACCGG